rnacentral:tRNA from 1 species
GCGGGAGUGGUGAAACUGGUAUACACGUACGCUUGAGGUGCGUAUGGAGAAAUCCGUGCAGGUUCAAGUCCUGUCUCCCGCA